rnacentral:lncRNA from 1 species
CCUCAAUGACAGGCCAGUUCCUCAUCUUCUCUUCACACGCUUUACCUCUCUUUUAGCACAUCAGAGCUUAUUCCCCCGGUGUGAUGAAUCUGCUUUUCAGGUAUCAGAGCUCAUCUCAAGAUUCAGCUGCAUCCAGCCUGACGGCAGAGAAGACGCCCCACCGGCAGGACUGCGAGCCCACGCCGGAGAGGCUGCAGCCCGCAGCCAAUCCGAGCGGCAACCGCAGGAAACGGCUGGUCCGGCAGUUCAGCUUUAACCACGAAGAUGAAGAUAAUCUCCCAGAAGCACUUGCAGCCAUCGCCUCUCAGAGCAGUGCGAAGUCGGGAUCCAGCAGCUCGUUGGACAAACAGAUCCAGCCGUCCAUCUACCCACAGGUGGAUAAUAUGCCAGCACUGGAGCUGGGUAGUCCGUGCUGUCACUCUCCUUCGCCUUCCCCUCACCUCUCCCCUUCUUACUACAGUAGCUCCAUCCCUCACCUGGUCCCUUACCUUGCUGCCCAUAACGACAGCGGAGAAGAAGUCAGGCUGGACAGAGAGAAGAUCCUCAGAACCCUGCUGAUGACUGAGCUCUGAGUGACCCUUGACCCCUGUGACACGAGGGUCAGAUGAUGCAAAGUGGGCAAAACCUUCGAGAGGAGCCUCAACGGCAUUGGCGCCAACCAACAUUUGUAUAUUUACAUUGCACAUUUAGCAGUAAAAACAUAUAUAUUUGCAUACAGGCAAUUGUUAUAUUUGGUUAAAUAUUAUUUUAGAAGGACAACUCUUUAUACUCGUGGAACUAAAACUGUAUAAAAAAGAGAGACAGAAACCUGUGGAAACUCUCACAUGCAUCACCGACAAGCUACGGAAGUGACCGGUGCUGCCUGCAUGAUAAAUGUGUUUAUCUAAUUGUUUCACUUUGAGGCUUUCUUUCUAAUUUAUCUUCCUCACUGUUUCCGUGUUGAUGCCUAAACUGUGUUUCAGACAGCGACUGUUCGAGCAUUGAUCUCCACACACACAAAAAAAACAAAAAAACUGUCAAAGCGAGAUCCACCUCACUCUCAUAUCACUCCAGCUUGUCGAAAAUGUAAAUAGUUCUUGUAAUUAUGUUGAUGUCGAUGGGGGAAGGUGUUAUAAAUGCUGAAUUCUGGACUGCAUUUAUGAUGUGGGAACUCUGAGGACUUGAAGAUUUCCUAUAAACUCGAGCAGCUGCAGUCUCAGCCUGCCCACUAGAAGGAGACAAAUGCAGUCAAAGCAGCACUGAUUCUGUGUUACAGGUUGUCUUUGAGAAGCACAUCAUGCAUUACUGUACGAUUUAUUUGUCACAUUCUCAUGCAAACCUGUUCUCUGAAGUUACGUUCUUGAAGAUAAGGUGUUACUAAGCGUCAGCGAGUUGCUUCACACCCUGAUUUCACCUCUUCUUUUGUCACUACCACCUCCGAGGAUCUGCCUUUGUACUGCCUGUCUCGACCGAGUUGAUCCUGCCUUCGGCUGGAUCUCAAUAAAAGCCACAUCAUCAGU